UGCCAUGAUUAAAAAAGUAAAGGAUUUUUUUGGAUAUGGCCUUAACGUACCACCCUUUCAAGAACGCAAAAGCCCUAUUAUGGAAAAACAUCAUCAUAGCUUUCUUUUGGAAUCUGUGGAAAGAAAGAAAUUAGAGAACAUUUGCAGAAAAAACACAGACCUACACAAAACUUUUCAAAAAUGUAGUUUACUAAGCUAUAUGUUGGUGUAAACGGUCUAAUAUUUUUACUUCCUAUAGUUAUACCUCCCUCAUUGCAAAUUGGGAAUGUCUUUUGUAAGCACCAUGAUCAUACAUCCCUUUUGUAAAUUUCAAUCAUCAAUGAAAUUGUCUCUUAAAAAAAAA